rnacentral:lncRNA from 1 species
AUAAUGUUACCUCGCAGGAUAAUUAUCCUUUUGUCAACUUCAGAACAAUAUUCAUACAUCCAUACGUUCAGCACGUAUGGCAUGCCUCCUAAAUGGUAUAGUUGUUUUUCUUCAAAAAAGUCUUAUCGCUAUAUUGUCAUUAUAUUUUUAAACGCCCCCACGAACAUUAUUCAUAAUGGCUAUCCUCUACCAUCUGGAAGUCUGCUAGGUAACUAAUAUAUCAUAUAAUUGUAAAAAUAAAAAUAUAGGUAUGACAUACAAUAUAUCCAUGUGCGAAGCUUCAUGGUUGUUUUCGAAGUUUCUAUUUUGAAACAUAUAAACAAAGUAAGUUUGGUUAUUUCAGAUUUUGUAUUCGGGAAAUAAUUCACCAUUAAACUAGAUCUGGAUGAUUUAGUAUAAAUAAAAUCCUCAAUGUUAUCGACACAUUUAAGAUCGUUGAUGAGAGAAAACUCAAAACUAUUAAACCAAAGAACAGUUCCCCUGAAAUAUACAUGAAUUCAUUCAGAUUAUCCUGCUCUAUCUCAAGCAUCAAUAUGUAUUUUAAUAUUUGGACUUUGAAGUUGCAUUGAGGCAUAUUGAGAAAUACCCCUAAGAAUGAUUGGAACAUAGAUCAAGUACGUCUUCACCCAAAUAAUUUUUGAUAUCUGCCCAAACAUCAUGGUUGCAUGAACUACUGAUAUGCAAAGGAUGAGGUGGAACUUCUUUGAUUCACUAUUUUAUCCCUUAUAAUCAUAAACAAUACCAAUACUAAUUCAAUCUAAAACCAAUCUUAACUAAAUAUAAAGAAAAAUACUCAAACUUAUACAUAACUUUGUCUGUUAUAUGAUGCUAUACAUAACUAUGCUAUGUAUCAGAGUUGAGAUAACAUUAGUUAAUCCAUUUCUAUACAUAGCAUUGUUAUGUAUCAAAUAUGCAGUAACAGUAUGUCUGCAUAGAAUAGUUUAUCCAUAUACAUAACUAUGCAAUAUAUCCUAUAUGAAAUAAGAUCAGGUAAUGCAUUCCAAGACAUUGGAUAGUUAUGUAUCAAAUAUGCAAUAACAUUGAUCUGAGGUGGUUUUAUGCACCUUAGUAUUGUUAUCCUAGCUUAUUUAGCCUUGUUUUGAGGGAAACUUGAGUGAUUGAUGUGUUAAUGAUUAUAUAAAUAAGAAUAAAAGUGUUUAAGUAUAUGAUUAUAAUAUUAAAGGUGUCUAUCAAACAAGUUUGUAAUCGAGUCAUUUAGAGUUCAACCGAGAAAACUAGUAUUACUAGCUUGAGCUAGGUGUCGUUCUAGUCUAUUGCGAUGGAUUCUAAUGUGUUGAAUGAGUUCUUAAUGGUUUAUAUUGUGUAAUUAUGUGUGGAAAAAAUUAUUUAUACUGUUCAAAGUACAAGUGAAUUAAGCCAAGAUUUAAAAUGAAGUAAAGAUUAAAGUGGACGAGACUAGAGCUUAGCUUGAGUUUCUAGUCGACCGCUCUUGAUAUUGUGCUGUUUUGAGCUCUAAUACGUGGUGUAUUAUGAUGUAGGAUUCUAUGUGAUUUGAUUAUGAUGAUAUAUGGAUAUUUAACAAGCUGAAAAUCAAGACAAAAUAACAUCACAAGGCUUGGGGUGUGAGGAGAAAUGCACAAGGAGAGUUAAAUGCCAAAGUGGCAAUUUCCAGUGAGACCACGCGAAUUAGAGGCAUCGCGGACCAUUAUACAAGGGGGAGAGAAAUGAAUCACACCACUUAGUCAAGUGGGGAGAUCAAGGCAUCACGUGGCUUAUUCCCUAGGAAGCAAGCAACGUAUUGCGUGGCUUAGUCCACACACGACAAUAUCACCCUCCUAUAAAUACUUGACCUUGUACACAUUGUAAUUACUCUUGGACAUCUUGGAAUCAAAAGAGGGGUUGUAAAACACAAAACUUAGGGUUAAUAUUCUUUAACUUUAGUUUCUUUAUAUAUUUGAUUAUGGAUUCAAUUAUUUGGAUUACAG